rnacentral:pre_miRNA from 1 species
UCUUAUGAGUGAGCAAAGAAAGUGGUUUCUUGAAAUGGAAUCUAGUCUAUGUGAAGAUGCUGUGAA